rnacentral:misc_RNA from 1 species
UUAACUAUUUAAUAGUACUCAGACGACACUAACAUUCAGAGUUUGGGGGUCCUCUGGCGGGCGCGCCGGACCGCAGUCCAGGCGUGCGAGGCACGCGGCCCGCCAAAGCAACAGUCGAUAAUGAUACACACGGGUGGGAGAUCUACCCCGAGGGGCAUGAACUCUGUAAUGAUCCUUCCGCAGGUUCACCUACGGAAA